ACAUACAACCACAGGGUGUGGAGAACAGGGCUUCCCGUCCGCUCAGCCGUACUUAAGCCACACGCCGGCAGGUUAGUAGUUGGGUGGGUGACCACCAGCGAAUCCCUGCUGUUGUAUGUU
rnacentral:rRNA from 1 species